rnacentral:rRNA from 1 species
UACGUAGGUAGCGAGCGUUGUUCGGAGUUACUGGGCGUAAAGGGUGUGUAGGCGGUUGUUUAAGUUUGGUGUGAAAUCUCCCGGCUCAACUGGGAGGGUGCGCCGAAUACUGAAUGACUUCGAGUGCGGGAGAGGAGAGUGGAAUUCCUGGUGUAGCGGUGAAAUGCGUAGAUAUCAGGAGGAACACCGGUGGUGUAGACGGCUCUCUGGACCGUAACUGACGCUGAGACACGAAAGCGUGGGUAGCAAACAGG